rfam:Daucus carota subsp. sativus cultivar DH1 chromosome 6, whole genome shotgun sequence.
GUUUGCAGUGAUGAUUAAUUAUACAGCUUUAUUGCCAGUUCUGCUUCAGAAAAUUCUUGAUUGAUAAGCUGAAAUGGUCUGAGCCUAGU